rnacentral:rRNA from 1 species
AGAUUAAGUUAUUAAGGGCGCACGGUGGAUGCCUUGGCACUAGAAGCCGAUGAAGGACGUUACUAACGACGAUAUGCUUUGGGUAGCUGUAAGUAAGCGUUGAUCCAGAGAUUUCCGAAUGGGGGAACCCAGCAUGAGUUAUGUCAUGUUAUCGACAUGUGAAUUUAUAGCAUGUCAGAAGGCAGACCCGGAGAACUGAAACAUCUUAGUACCCGGAGGAAGAGAAAGAAAAAUCGAUUCCCUGAGUAGCGGCGAGCGAAACGGGAAGAGCCCAAACCAACAAGCUUGCUUGUUGGGGUUGUAGGACACUCUAUACGGAGUUACAAAAGAACAUGUUAGACGAAUCAUCUGGAAAGAUGAAUCAAAGAAGGUAAUAAUCCUGUAGUCGAAAACAUAUUCUCUCUUGAGUGGAUCCUGAGUACGACGGAGCACGUGAAAUUCCGUCGGAAUCUGGGAGGACCAUCUCCUAAGGCUAAAUACUCUCUAGUGACCGAUAGUGAACCAGUACCGUGAGGGAAAGGUGAAAAGUACCCCGGAAGGGGAGUGAAAGAGAACUUGAAACCGUGUGCUUACAAGUAGUCAGAGCCCGUUAAUGGGUGAUGGCGUGCCUUUUGUAGAAUGAACCGGCGAGUUACGAUCUGAUGCAAGGUUAAGCAGCAAAUGUGGAGCCGCAGCGAAAGCGAGUCUGAAUAGGGCGUUGAGUAUUUGGUCGUAGACCGAAACCAGGUGAUCUACCCUUGGUCAGGUUGAAGUUCAGGUAACACUGAAUGGA